UACGAAGGGUGCAAGCGUUACUCGGAAUUACUGGGCGUAAAGCGUGCGUAGGUGGUUUGUUAAGUCUGAUGUGAAGCCCUGGGCUCAACCUGGGAAUUGCAUUGGAUACUGGCAGGCUAGAGUGCGGUAGAGGGUAGUGGAAUUCCCGGUGUAGCAGUAAAUGCGUAGAGAUCGGGAGGAACAUCCGUGGCGAAGGCGACUACCUGGACCAGCACUGACACUGAGGCACGAAAGCGUGGGAGCAAACAGG
rnacentral:rRNA from 1 species